UGUAAACACAGAUGAAGCUUCGUUCGCUCACCCACUGCUCACCUCUCCUGCUGUGGGGCCUGGUUCCUACAGGCCUGGGGGUCGGGGACCCCUUAUGUAGAAAAUCGGUUGAGAGUUGUCAUUGCUGUCAUGAGAAUCUGUAGACAGGAUGACAGAGGCACAGGGAUGGAGGGACACAGCCCAGGAGGCGCUUCAACGUUUCCUUUGCUGUAAAGUUCCCUGGCAUCAGCUGAGACUGUGAACAUUUCUUCUUGCCUAAGUGUGGCGUGAAGUGUGGGGUGCCCCAUGAAAAGAUUACCUCUCUGUUAGAAUGGGGAAGAUAUAUACUUCUGGGAUGUGCAACCGGACAUGCCCACUGAGGUGGAAUCUGAGCGCUAGGAAGAGCCCAAGCCAGCUGCCAGGGAACUGACAUCAAGGGUCUACCAUGAAGCAAGGGAGUGACCCUGGAGUAGAUCCAACUCAGGAAUGGGAAAUGGAGGAGCACUUGACUGUCACUGCAACAAACAAAGGAACUUCCUGGUGAUUGCCCACGUGUUCCCUCACAUUUCUCACCCUCCCUUCAGGCACAAAGGAGGCCAGUGCUCCACAUGCUGCAAGCUGGCAGAGCCUCUGUCAGCCUGGAUCCCUUAAUGACUACGUGGAACAGAGCUCCCCAGCAGACCCAUGUUGGAAUCACAGCUUGAGCAAGAAAGAAACUUUGUUGCGCUAUGCCUACUAAAAUUUGGGGGUUAACUUGUUACUGCAGCAUAACCUAAUCUAGCCCUGAUUAAUAUUUCAAGUUUGCUUUUAGAUUGAUAAUCUCUUUAUGAGCCUCUUUUAGACAGUCUACAUCCUUAAACUGUCUUGCAAGCACUUCUAAGCUGAGUAUGACCUGCUGCUCUGGAACCUCUUACAGUCACCCUGUUGAGCUUCCUUUUAUGCUAGAACUGUAGUCUCUCUGGGAUCAGCAAGAGAUUCCAGGAAUUCACUUCAUAUUUCCCUUUGCCAGAAUUACAAGACCUACAACUGGGA
rnacentral:lncRNA from 10 species